GGUCCCUAUCUGCCGUGGGCGCUGGAGAAUUGAGGGGGGCUGCUCCUAGUACGAGAGGACCGGAGUGGACGCAUCACUGGUGUUCGGGUUGUCAUGCCAAUGGCACUGCCCGGUAGCUAAAUGCGGAAGAGAUAAGUGCUGAAAGCAUCUAAGCACGAAACUUGCCCCGAGAUGAUUUCUCCCUGAGACUUUAAGUCUCCUGAAGGAACGUUGAAGACGACGACGUUGAUAGGCCGGGUGUGUAAGCGCAGCGAUGCGUUGAGCUAACCGGUACUAAUGAACCGUGAGGCUUAACCUUA
rnacentral:rRNA from 1 species